CAUAUAUCAAUGGCCUCCAGGAUGGAGACGGUGGAGGAGCAGAAGGGGAUGGGGAGCAGGACGGAGGCCCAGAGAGAAGAGAGAAGGCCCACCCAGCUGAGCAGGGGAUACAGGCAGGAAAGAGGGGCCAGGCUGCAGGAGAGAGAGGAAUGAGAAAAUACAGGCAGGGAGCGAGAAAGAGAAAGAAAAAAUAGUGGAGAGGGGGAGGAAUUAAAAAAUGGGGGCAGGGAGCCAGACAGAGUGCGACGGGGAGAGACCAAAAUUAGCAAUUCUGGGCAACUGCCCCCAUUUCUUGAGCACUCCCCAGGAAAUGCAUUACCGGGAGCCUCAAGGAAUGUGCUGCCUGCCAAAGCCCUGCCCUGGCCCCAGUCCUGUGCCCUAGUAUUGGUGACGAGCAUUGCCUUGCAUAGUGGCCAGGACUGAGGGAAGAAAAGGACAGCUGGGGGGAAAAAAAUCACCGAGCUGGGUUUUGGUUUUGUUUUGGUUUUUUUUUUCUUGAUGGUUUUGCUUUUAAAAAGAAUAGUAUUUAAGCUCUAAAUACAAACUGCAAGGAAAAAGGAACCAGGCGUACCAGUCUGGACACAUUUAAAGCCUGAACCCAUUCAACAGCUGCACCACCCACCACUCCUGCUGCCCACACUCCACCGCCUGCCUGCAGGCUGGGUUAAAGACUCAUCCAUCAAGUGCUGGCUCAGGACCAUGCCGGGGCAAAUGGCACUGCUUUUCUGGAUCCCAUGGCAGCGAUGGGCAAAGGAACAGGGAGACCCAGUGGAGUCGUAGCGUGCGCUGGAGAGUGUUCUUCAGGAAGGUGACAGCCGAUUGCAGAGCAACGCUGAGACGCACCUGACAGCAAAGGUGCCCGGUGGCCACGGACGAGCCUAGGAAGCAUGGCAUGCACCAAGCACACCCAGAGCUGCGCCCGUGCCAGGAGAAGACUUCAAGCACAGGCGGGGCUGAUGGCGACAGUUCCCACCAGCUGUCCAGCUCCAGAAGAUGCAGAUUUUUGCUCUGAAACCAUUCAAGUGCUGAGGACUGGGAUUUUCCAACAGCAUCAUAUUUCUCUUUGGGCUUUGUCCUGAUCCAAUGUCAGGGAAGGUUUCGAUAUGAUCCCAAGAGCGAGAUUAAGACAGAAACGAGGUCAAAUGCUGUAUAGUCCAAAGAGCUUUUAUUAUCAAAAGUGGAAAAUGGUGGCGAUAGGAUAGAAUGGAAGAAAAGGUAGAAAUUAAGCAAGCAGUCGGGAUAGGAUUGCUAGGAUAGUCACCACCACGGAUCCAGCGGCAUCCCGUUGGUCCUCAGGCAAGCAGUCGGUGGUGGGAGUUGCAAGGACGGUCACCACCACAGAUCCAGCGGCGUCCCGUUGGUCCUCAAUCUUCAGUUCUUUGGUGGUGAAAAAAGGCUGCCACAGCUUGUCUCUACGGGUUUUUAUAGGGCAUAUUUCGAUGAUGUCAUGCACUGCAGGUUUCAUCUAUCACAUGACCUUCGCAUGAUGGACACCACAUCAGCUCCAGCCCCCGUUUUCUCCCCUGGAUGCCUCAAUGGCCUGGUAAUGGUCCUUAUGGACAGAGGAGUGUCCUGCUUAAACAGGCCAUCUUAGAGACAAAGGGCUGGAGAUAAGCAGUUCACAGUUCCUUGAGAUGACAGCCCAGUCCCUCACACCUAACAAUCUUUGAGGCAAAUGGUUCAAGAUAACAAUUCAGUCUCUCACAGGCUUCCUGGGGAGGGAUUGCAGGCAUGCAAGACCUGUUGGGGAGCUCAGUCUUCUUUUGGGAUGCUCUCUGGGACAGGAGGACAAUUGCUUUGAACUGCCUAUAUUUCUGGAAGGAUUAUCUACAUUUACCUUCCAUCUGAAAUACUGCUUAGUGCAAGCUGUUGGUUUUUUCUUUUAAAAAAGGGGGGGAGGUGUGUGUGAAUAGCUGAGUGCUAGUAUACAGUGAGUUACCUUCCCCUGCUUAGAGUAAAUGGUUUUAGGAUUAAAAAUACCCAUUUUGUGUUACAAAAAUUGGUUCCCUUAAAGAUUCAAGUGCUUGCUGAUGGACUCCUGGCUGACAAAAUCUCUUUUCAGCUUGCUUAAAUAUUAAACAGUCUUUAAAGUAG